rnacentral:rRNA from 1 species
UACGUAGGGCGCAAGCGUUGUUCGGAUUCAUUGGGCGUAAAGGGUGCGUAGGCGGCGCGGUAAGUCGGGUGUGAAAUCUCGGAGCUUAACUCCGAAACUGCAUUCGAUACUGCCGUGCUUGAGGACUGGAGAGGAGACUGGAAUUUACGGUGUAGCGGUGAAAUGCGUAGAUAUCGUAAGGAAGACCAGUGGCGGAAGGCGGGUCUCUGGACAGUUCCUGACGCUGAGGCACGAGGGUCAGGGGAGCAAACGGG